rnacentral:rRNA from 1 species
GAUGAACGCUGGCGGCGUGCUUAACACAUGCAAGUCGAGCGAGUGAGUUCUUCGGAACGAUCUAGCGGCGGACGGGUGAGUAACACGUGGGCAACCUGCCUCAUAGAGGGGAAUAGCCUCCCGAAAGGGAGAUUACUACCGCAUAAAAUUAUCGAGUGGCAUCACAUGAUAAUCAAAGGAGUAAUCCGCUAUGAGAUGGGCCCGCGGCGCAUUAGCUAGUUGGUGAGGUAACGGCGCACCAAGGCGACGAUGCGUAGCCGACCUGAGAGGGUGAUCGGCCACAUUGGGACUGAGACACGGCCCAGACUCCUACGGGAGGCAGCAGUGGGGAAUAUUGCACAAUGGGGGAAACCCUGAUGCAGCAACGCCGCGUGAGUGAUGAAGGUCUUCGGAUUGUAAAGCUCUGUCUUUGGGGACGAUAAUGACGGUACCCAAGGAGGAAGCCACGGCUAACUACGUGCCAGCAGCCGCAGUAA